UGUGGUGGGUAUUGUUGAACACGACAGUGAAUUUUUUCCAGACACUUUACGAGAAAAAAGUGAACCAGAAAUAUGGUUAUGUUGAAAGGAACUGUGGUUUUUACCAUUAUAAUCGCAUAUUCAAUAUCGUCGAUUCAAUGUGGCAGUGGCAGGUUUGGGUUACCAUCUUUCUUCAGCAGAAGUAAAUCUAAAACUAAGGAGGAUAAACCUACAACAAUACAUCACUUGAUAGAAACGAUGAAGAAAUUCAUAGGGAACUUGUACACCUACAGCAGUAGUUUCAACACUGCGGGUUAUUUGGACGAAUACGG